CCCAAGGUGGCCGAGUGGUUAAGGCAAUGGACUGCUAAUCCAUUGUGCUCUGCACGCGUGGGUUCGAAUCCCAUCCUCGUCGUCUGGGU